rnacentral:rRNA from 1 species
CGCUGGCGGUAGGCCUAACACAUGCAAGUCGAACGGCAGCACAGGAGAGCUUGCUCUCUGGGUGGCGAGUGGCGGACGGGUGAGGAAUACAUCGGAAUCUACUUUUUCGUGGGGGAUAACGUAGGGAAACUUACGCUAAUACCGCAUACGACCUACGGGUGAAAGCAGGGGAUCUUCGGACCUUGCGCGAUUGAAUGAGCCGAUGUCGGAUUAGCUAGUUGGCGGGGUAAAGGCCCACCAAGGCGACGAUCCGUAGCUGGUCUGAGAGGAUGAUCAGCCACACUGGAACUGAGACACGGUCCAGACUCCUACGGGAGGCAGCAGUGGGGAAUAUUGGACAAUGGGCGCAAGCCUGAUCCAGCCAUACCGCGUGGGUGAAGAAGGCCUUCGGGUUGUAAAGCCCUUUUGUUGGGAAAGAAAUCCAGCUGGUUAAUACCCGGUUGGGAUGACGGUACCCAAAGAAUAAGCACCGGCUAACUUCGUGCCAGCAGCCGCGGUAAUACGAAGGGUGCAAGCGUUACUCGGAAUUACUGGGCGUAAAGCGUGCGUAGGUGGUCGUUUAAGUCCGUUGUGAAAGCCC